rnacentral:rRNA from 1 species
UACGUAGGGGGCAAGCGUUGUCCGGAUUUAUUGGGCGUAAAGAGCUCGUAGGCGGUUUCGUAAGUCGAGUGUGAAAAAUCUGGGCUCAACCCAGUGGAGCACUCGAUACUGCGAUGACUAGAGUACGGUAGAGGAGUGUGGAAUUCCUGGUGUAGCGGUGAAAUGCGCAGAUAUCAGGAGGAACACCAACGGCGAAGGCAGCACUCUGGGCCGGUACUGACGCUGAGGAGCGAAAGCGUGGGGAGCAAACAGG